GCUAUCGAAGCUGAAAAAUUAAGCGUUGGUCUUGUAAACCAAAGGUUGGACAUAUCUCCCAUAGCA
rnacentral:tRNA from 1 species